CAAUAGCGUAUAUUAAAGUUGUUGCAGUUAAAAAGCUCGUAGUUGGAUUUCUGUCGAGAGCAGCCGGUCGGCCCAGCGGGUUUGUAUCUGGCUUGGUCUUGGCAUCCUCUUGGGGAACGUAUCUGCGCUUGACUGUGUGGUGCGGUACCCAGGACUUUUACUUUGAGGAAAUUAGAGUGUUUCAGGCAGGCAUGCGCCUUGAAUACAUUAGCAUGGAAUAAUAAGAUAGGACUUCGGUUCGAUUUUGUUGGUUUCUUGGACUGAAGUAAUGAUUAAUAGGGAUAGUUGGGGGCAUUCGUAUUUAACUGUCAGAGGUGAAAUUCUUGGAUUUGUUAAAGACGAACUACUGCGAAAGCAUUUGCCAAGGAUGUUUNCAUUG
rnacentral:rRNA from 1 species